AGAAGAAGGCAAAGGUUCGGGUCGUUGGAAGCUCAGAUAAAGUAUGUUUGCUACGAUGCCUCUCAUGCUUGUACUACUUGUUCUCUUGGCUGCUCAGUUAGCUGUUGGCUUGAGCGAAGAGCAUGAAGUAACAGUGACACUGCUAUCAGAAAGAUUCGACCCUCUAACCCGUCAGAAAAGGUCAACAGACUCUAACUUACCCGACCACCUGACCUUCCGUGUUGACCUAGAUAACGACAACCUUGAACUUCGACUAAAGAGAUCUGCUCUCUUGCCAGUUACAACAAGCGACCCAGAUUCUACAAGAUUAGCCAACCAGAUU